GUGCUAGUAGCUCAACUGGAAGAGCGCCCGCCUGUGCAGCGGGAGUUACGGGUUCGGUUCCCGUCUAGCACC
rnacentral:tRNA from 1 species